AUUGAACGCUGGCGGCAGGCCUAACACAUGCAAGUCGAACGAGUGGCGGACGGGUGAGUAAUGUCUGGGAAUCUGCCCGAUGGAGGGGGAUAACUACUGGAAACGGUAGCUAAUACCGCAUACUAUCGGAUGUGCCCAGAUGGGAUUAGCUAGUAGGUGGGGUAACGGCUCACCUAGGCGACGAUCCCUAGCUGGUCUGAGAGGAUGACCAGCCACACUGGAACUGAGACACGGUCCAGACUCCUACGGGAGGCAGCAGUGGGGAAUAUUGCACAAUGGGCGCAAGCCUGAUGCAGCCAUGCCGCGUGUAUGAAGAAGGCCUUCGGGUUGUAAAGUACUUUCAGCGGGGAGGCGUUACCCGCAGAAGAAGCACCGGCUAACUCCGUGCCAGCAGCCGCGGUAAUUC
rnacentral:rRNA from 1 species